rnacentral:rRNA from 1 species
UACGUAGGGGGCAAGCGUUGUCCGGAAUCAUUGGGCGUAAAGCGCGCGUAGGCGGCCCUGUAAGUCCGUUGUGAAAGUCAAAGGCUCAACCUUUGAAAGCCGGUGGAUACUGUGAGGCUAGAGUACGGAAGAGGCGAGUGGAAUUCCUGGUGUAGCGGUGGAAUGCGCAGAUAUCAGGAGGAACACCAAUAGCGAAGGCAGCUCGCUGGGACGUUACUGACACUGAGGCGCGAAAGCGUGGGGAGCGAACAGG